CUACGGGAGGCUCCAGUGGGGAAUUUUGGACAAUGGGCGAAAGCCUGAUCCAGCCAUUCCGCGUGAGUGAUGAAGGCCUUCGGGUUGUAAAGCUCUUUCGGCCGGGAAGAAAUCGUGCAGGCUAAUAUCCUGCAUGGAUGACGGUACCGGACCAAGAAGCACCGGCUAACUACGUGCCAGCAGCCGCGGUAAUACGUAGGGUGCGAGCGUUAAUCGGAAUUACUGGGCGUAAAGCGUGCGCAGGCGGAUGUUUAAGCCAGAUGUGAAAUCCCCGGGCUUAACCUGGGAAUGGCAUUUGGAACUGGACAUCUAGAGUGUGUCAGAGGGGGGUGGAAUUCCACGUGUAGCAGUGAAAUGCGUAGAGAUGUGGAGGAACACCGAUGGCGAAGGCGGCCCCCUGGGAUAACACUGACGCUCAUGCACGAAAGCGUGGGGAGCAAACAGGAUUAGAUACCCGGGUAGUC
rnacentral:rRNA from 1 species